UGGCGAACGGGUGAGUAACACGUGGGUAAUCUAACCUCGAGUUUGGGAUAACCUUGCGAAAGCGGGGCUAAUACCGAAUAAGACCACGCCCUGCCCGCAGGGUGCGGUAAAAGGUGGCCUCUUCUUGAAAGCUGUCACUUGAGGAUGAGCCCGCGGCCUAUUAGCUAGUUGGUGGGGUAAUGGCCUACCAAGGCGACGAUGGGUAGCCGGCCUGAGAGGGUGUACGGCCACACUGGCACUGAGAUACGGGCCAGACUCCUACGGGAGGCAGCAGUGGGGAAUUUUGCGCAAUGGGGGAAACCCUGACGCAGCAACGCCGCGUGAGUGAUGAAGGCCUUCGGGUCGUAAAGCUCUUUUAGUGGGGAAGAAUCCCUUUCGGGUUAAUACCUCGGGAGGAUGACGGUACCCACAGAAAAAGUUCCGGCUAACUACGUGCCAGCAGCCGCGGUAAUACGUAGGGAGCAAGCGUUGUUCGGAAUUAUUGGGCGUAAAGAGCGCGUAGGCGGUUCGGUAAGUCUGACGUGAAAUCCCAGAGCUUAACUCUGGAACUGCGUUGGAUACUGCCGAGCUUGAGUGUGGGAGAGGAGAGUGGAAUUCCCAGUGUAGAGGUGAAAUUCGUAGAUAUUGGGAGGAACACCCGUGGCGAAGGCGGCUCUCUGGACCACAACUGACGCUGAGGCGCGAAAGCUAGGGUAGCAAACGGGAUUAGAUACCCCGGUAGUCCUAGCCGUAAACGAUGGGCACUAGGUGUUGGAGGUAUCGACCCCUCCAGUGCCGCAGCUAACGCAUUAAGUGCCCCGCCUGGGGAGUACGGUCGCAAGACUAAAACUCAAAGGAAUUGACGGGGGCCCGCACAAGCGGUGGAGCAUGUGGUUUAAUUCG
rnacentral:rRNA from 1 species